GACAGAGGCCUCAAGCGUUAGGCGGAAUCACUGGGCUUAAAGCGUGUGUAGGCGGAUCGUUAAGUGUCUUGUGAAAUCCCACGGCUCACCCGUGGAACUGCUGGGCAUACUGGCGAUCUUGGGCCAACUAGGGGCAACUGGAACAAGCGGUGGAGCGGUGAAAUGCGUAGAUAUCGCUUGGAACGCCAAAGGUGAAAACAGGUUGCUGGGGUGUGCCGACGCUGAGACACGAAAGCCAGGGGAGCAAACGGG
rnacentral:rRNA from 1 species